CCCAGUUCGGAUUGCAGGCUGCAACCCGCCUGUAUGAAGUUGGAAUCGCUAGUAAUCGCGGAUCAGCAUGCCGCGGUGAAUACGUUCCCGGGCCUUGUACACACCGCCCGUCACACCAUGAGAGUCGGGAACACCCGAAGUCCGUAGCCUAACCGCAAGGGGGGCGCGGCCGAAGGUGGGUUCGAUAAUUGGGGUGAAGUCGUAACAAGGUAGC
rnacentral:rRNA from 1 species